GGGCAGGUGAUCCGAUUGGUAAUGGUGAUUCUCUGUAAAAGAAUUGGUUAGCUCCGUAAAAGGUUCGAUUCCUUUACUGCUCA
rnacentral:tRNA from 1 species